AAUGGGCGCAAGCCUGAUCCAGCCAUCCCGCGUGAAGGAUUAAGGUCCUAUGGAUUGUAAACUUCUUUUCUCUGGGUAUAAAAACCGGUAUUUAUAUUGGCUUGAAGGUACCAGAGGAAUAAGCACCGGCUAACUCCGUGCCAGCAGCCGCGGUAAUACGGAGGGUGCAAGCGUUAUCCGGAUUCACUGGGUUUAAAGGGAGCGUAGGUGGCUUUGUAAGUCAGUGGUGAAAGCCCGGAGCUUAACUCCGGAACUGCCAUUAAUACUGAUUAGCUUGAAUCAACUUGAGGUGGAUGGAAUAUUACAUGUAGCGGUGAAAUGCUUAGAUAUGUAAUAGAACACCGAUUGCGAAGGCAGUUCACUAAGGUUGUAUUGACACUGAGGCUCGAAAGCGUGGGGAUCAAA
rnacentral:rRNA from 1 species